rnacentral:rRNA from 1 species
UGCCUACGGGGGGCAGCAGUCGGGAAUAUUGCGCAAUGGAGGAAACUCUGACGCAGUGACGCCGCGUGCAGGAAGAAGGCUUUCGGAUUGUAAACUGCUUUAGACAGGGAAGAUAAUGACAGUACCUGUAGAAUAAGCUCCGGCUGACUACGUGCCAGCAGCCGCGGUAAUACGUAGGGAGCAAGCGUUAUCCGGAUUUAUUGGGUGUAAAGGGUGCGUAGACGGGAAUGCAAGUUAGUAGUGAAAUCCCUCGGCUUAACUGAGGAACUGCAACUAAAACUCCAUUUCUUGAGUUCUGGAGAGGA